CCUCGGGAAACUGAGGUUAAUGUCUGAUAGGAGAUUAUUUCUGGAAGGAUUUUUCUCUGAAAUUCGCGCUUAAGGAUAAGACUGCGGCCGAUUAGGUAGUUGGCGGGGUAAUAGCCCACCAAGCCAAUGAUCGGUAAGGGCUCUUAGCGGAGAGGCCCUGAGAAGGAAUCUGAGACACUAUUCCUAGCCCUACGGGGUGCAGCAGUUAGGGAUUUUUUGCAAUGCGCGCAAGCGUGACAAAGUGAGCCAGAGUGUUUCUCUUUGAGAAACUUUUGCCAGCUGUAAAUAGGCUGGCGAAUAAGGACUGGGCAAGAUCGGUGCCAGCCGCCGCGGUAAUCCCGACGGUCCAAGUCGCAGCCACAAUUAUUGGGUCUAAAACAUUCGUAGCUUGCUUUUUAAGUUUCUUGUGAAAUCCGGUAUCUUAAGUAUCGGUCGUGCAAGAAAUACUGAGAAGCUAGAGAUCGGAGGACGUGAAGAGUACAGUUGAGGUAGUGGUAAAAUACGUUAAUCUUAACUGGACUAACAACAGCGAAGGCACUUCACGACGACGAAUCUGACAGUGAGGGAUGAAAGCGAGGGGCGCAAAAUGGAUUAGAUACCCAUGUAGUCCUCGCAGUAAACACUGCACACUAAACAUCAGUACCUCCUCGGGAGGUAUUGGUGCUGUAGCGAAGGCGAAGAGUGUGCUACCUGGGAAGUAUAGUCGCAAGGCCGAAACUUAAAGGAAUUGGCGGGGGAGCACA
rnacentral:rRNA from 1 species